rnacentral:rRNA from 1 species
AUACGUAGGGGGCGAGCGUUGUCCGGAAUGAUUGGGCGUAAAGGGCACGUAGGCGGCCCGGUAAGUCUGGAGUGAAAGUCCUGUUUUUAAGAUGGGAAUUGCUUUGGAUACUGUCGGGCUUGAGUGCAGGAGAGGUAAGUGGAAUUCCCAGUGUAGCGGUGAAAUGCGUAGAGAUUGGGAGGAACACCAGUGGCGAAGGCGACUUACUGGACUGUAACUGACGCUGAGGCGCGAAAGCGUGGGGAGCGAACAGGAUUAGAUACCCUGGUAGUCCACGCGGUAAACGAUGAAUGCUAGGUGUAGGGGGUAUCGACCCCUCCUGUGCCGGAGUAAACACAAUAAGCAUUCCGCCUGGGGAGUACGGCCGCAAGGUUGAAACUCAAAUGAAUUGACGGGG